UUUUGUGUCAAAAUUCUCCAUUGAAUUGCAAUACUGACGAGAAUUAGGCCAAGAGCUAAAGUUUAGCGUACUUUUCGCUUUUGGUUUGACCAGCUUUGUAGAAGACAACGUUAAUAAACAAUGGCUGUAUCAUUAAGCUAUGGAAACGGAACGUCAUUCAAUUGCAAAUCUUUGUGCUUUUGUGUGUGCGGAAUGUUUUUGUGAGCCAUGAAGCAUGCAGUCUACCUUCGUUUUUACGGAAUGCUUCUGUAAUGCAUCCCAACCAUAUGAGCGAUUAUAUAUACUGUGUACAUGUAAGUAAAAUGCAUACGAAAAGGGUUUUUUACGAAGUAACCACUCAUUUGAUUUUGUUUUUCGAACAAACGUUUCCACUCAAAAGUCUACUUUUACCGCUAAUUGCUCC
rnacentral:lncRNA from 1 species